rnacentral:piRNA from 2 species
GUGGUGUGCACACUGUCUGUCAUUGUCAGAA